rnacentral:tRNA from 1 species
GGUUUGUGGCUCAGUGGUAGAGCACUUGCCUUGCGUGCAUGAAGCACUGGAUUUGAUCCCCGGCACCA